rnacentral:rRNA from 1 species
CAAGUCGAACGCCCCGCAAGGGGAGUGGCAGACGGGUGAGUAACGCGUGGGAACAUACCCUUUCCUGCGGAAUAGCUCCGGGAAACUGGAAUUAAUACCGCAUACGCCCUACGGGGGAAAGAUUUAUCGGGGAAGGAUUGGCCCGCGUUGGAUUAGCUAGUUGGUGGGGUAAAGGCCUACCAAGGCGACGAUCCAUAUUUGGUCUGAGAGGAUGAUCAGCCACAUUGGGACUGAGACACGGCCCAAACUCCUACGGGAGGCAGCAGUGGGGAAUAUUGGACAAUGGGCGCAAGCCUGAUCCAGCCAUGCCGCGUGAGUGAUGAAGGCCUUAGGGUUGUAAAGCUCUUUCACCGGAGAAGAUAAUGACGGUAUCCGGAGAAGAAGCCCCGGCUAACUUCGUGCCAGCAGCCGCGGUA